CCACAGAGUGUCCACUGAUGCCACAGGGUGCUCUGGGUCCCAGAUGGCCCGGCAGAAUUGGCCUGAUUUGGGGCUGGUGUAUGGAGGCAGACCCUUCUACGUACGCCCACUGCAGUAAAGAAUUUCACCUUACCCAAAGGGAGGGCUGGCCUUUGCCUCUGGGAUGCAUAAGCCCUUGGAUUGUCCCACCUGGUAGAAUACCUUUCUUUCCCUGGGGCCUUGGGCCAGGCCAGAUGGUGUAUGCUAACAAUGUGAUUUAUAGGGGGACCUUGGCUCACAUGGCAUCCGCCUGACUUCUGGGGUGCUGGAGACGGAAGGCCAGCAACACGUAGAGUCAGUCGGGUCUGUGCGACAAAGCUCCAACCAAGACCCCAGACCCCAACUCCAUGCGCUUCCCUGGCUAGCAACACCCCUUGGGGUCGCCCCAGGCUGCUGCUGGGGAAGCAGGUGCCAUGCACACAGCUCCACGGGGAGAGGCGGCAACAGUUCCACGCUUGGAGCUCUCUCGGGCCCUGCCCCACGCACCUCCUUUCUUGGCUGAUCUUCAUUUGAAUCCCUUCACUCUAAUAACCAUAACCAAGACUAGAGCCGCUCACAGGAAGUUCUGCCAGUCCUCCUAGCAAAUUAUCAAACUUAAAGAUGGUCUUAGAGCUCCCCAAACUUGCAGUGGGUGUCAGCAGUGAGGGUGGUCUCUGGGCUGUUCCCUAACUUCAUGCUCUACCUUGACCAAUCAUGGCAACUGCUACCAGGAAUGGGGCAUGGGUCAGGCAGCGACCCAUGAGACCGGAAGAGACUUAGCCGGGAGCCUUCAGCUGACGGCACUGGCAGCGGCCAGCCAGAAGGAUGAGGGCUUUAGUCCUAUUGGUGGGACCAGCGGGGAGUGUGGACGGUGACACAACAUCCACGUGUGCGUGCUCAUGCACGGGGCUCAGGAGGCCUCAGGAAACACAAUCAUGGCAGAAGGGGAAGCAAACACAUCCUUCUUCACAUGGCAGCAGCAAGGAGAAGUGCAGAGCAGAGUAAAGGAGGAAAAGCCCCGUAUAAAACCAUCAGGUCUAAUGAGAACUCACUCAGUAUCAUGAAAACAGCAUGAGGGUAAUCACCCCUGUCAUUCAAUUACCUCCCACCAGGUCCCUCUCAUGGUAUGUGGGGAUUAUGGGAACUACAGUUCAAGAUAAAAUUUGGGUGGGGACACAGCCAAACCAUAUCACAAUGUAAACUUUUAACAAGGAAAAGGGUUUUAGGGUUGGGCACGGUGGCUUACACCUGUAAUCCCAGCACUUUUGGAGGCCAAAGCAGGUGGAUCACUUGAGGUCAGGAGUUCGAGACCAGCCUGGCCAACAUGGUGAAACCCCCUCUACUAAAAAUAGAAAAAUUAGCUGGGUGUGGUGACGCAUGCCUGUAGUCCCAGCUACUUUGGAGGCUAAGAAAAUUGCUUGAACCUGGGAGGCAGAGGUUGCAGUGAGCCAAGAUUACACCACUGCACUUUAGCCUGGGCAACAGAGCAAGACUCUGUCUCAAAAAAAAAAAAAGAAAAAAAAAGAAAAAAAGAAAAGGGUUUUAGGGGACUUAAAAAUUCAUACAAAAGGCCGGACGCAGUGGCUCAUGCCUGUAAUCCCAGCACUUUGGGAGGCCAAGGCGGGUGGAUCACAAGGUCAGGAGAUCGAGAC
rnacentral:lncRNA from 10 species